rnacentral:rRNA from 1 species
AACGACUCUCGGCAACGGAUAUCUCGGCUCUCGCAUCGAUGAAGAACGUAGCGAAAUGCGAUACUUGGUGUGAAUUGCAGAAUCCCGUGAACCAUCGAGUCUUUGAACGCAAGUUGCGCCCGAAGCCACCCGGCUGAGGGCACGUCUGCCUGGGUGUCACGCA